GUUUAGCACGCUGUCCUUGACCAUGUCCCUCUGUCCACAGGGUGGUGGUGUUGGACUGUGUUACAGACACACUGCUGUUUUCCGGCAAGGUGCUGGUGGUCGGAUUAGUGGGUCUGCUGGCUUUCUUCUUCUUCUCUGGGAGAAUCAGGCUGCCAGAUGACAAUUUCCAGAUUCAGCUGCUGCAUUACUACUGGUUGCCCGUUAUCACGGUGAUGGCAGGAGCUUACUUGAUCGCUCAGGGCUUCUUCAGUGUGUACAGCAUGUGUGUGGACACCCUUUUUCUCUGCUUCUUGGAGGAUCUGGAGCGUAAUGAGGGCACCAUGCUGAGACCAUACUACAUGUCCGGGUCUCUGUGGCGAAUCCUCAAUAAGUCCUAAAGAGCCUUAAAAAAAAGACAGCUUUCGACCACAUCCUUUUCCAUACUUUUCAUAAAUAAACCAAACAAGCAUUUAUGUUAGUCUUUUUUUGUUUGUUGCUGUAAAACUGCUCAGCAUUCUGAUCGCUACUGUAAUGUUCAGAAGACAGCUGACGGGGCCUCUAUCAGGACUGAUUUGGUUUUGACCAAACAGCAGACACACACUGGAUGUUCUGGCAAACACUGAGUAGGAGUAAGCUUGUGCCUAAAUUUGGGGUAUAUGAGAAGUUUUAGUUCUUUGCUAACUCCUGAUUAUGCAUAAAAGAUCACAUUCCAUGGUAUGCUACG